rnacentral:misc_RNA from 1 species
ACUCCUGCCAAUAUAUCUAUUCCCUGCAGCCAAUAUAUAUAUAUAUAUAUAGGUGAAUGCCCAAAAAAUUUUGGAAGCAGCUGAUCCUGAUGUCAAGUUAUUUAUUGUAAUUGAAUUCGCAAUGUGAUUGCUAAAGAUACAAAAAGAAUAGAAACUGCAAGACAGGAUCCAUAAAACUUCUUGUGUUCUGGGUAUGGAAGCAAGUACAAGUGCAGAUCAAGCUUUACACACUCAAUGGAAGAGAAUAAUUGACAGCUAUGGAUACAAACAUAUGAUUUAAAAUUAGACAUAGCCUAGAACCAAAAGCUGUGUUUGGAUACAAUGAUAUGAAACAAAAGAUUUUGA